rnacentral:misc_RNA from 1 species
ACAUUGUAGGCUGUCACUAUCCCCCCGUGAAGUCGUUUUACCAUGCUUCUAUUUGUCCUGUUCUUACCGCUGGUUGUCGGCGACUCAUAUCAACUUCCCACGCCAUACCUGACCCUGAACGAUAAUAACGUGACGGAAGGACAACCAAUCGCUCUCAGGUGUUCAAUUUACUCCCCGGAACCCCAGCCGGUCACGUGGUACUGGAGAUGUGGCGACAGUAACAUGACUGGGAAUGCGUCCGUCGGCCUCCACGACACCGUCCUGACCUUCCCUUCCGACCGGAAGUACAAUGGAGUGGUGUGUUACUGUAAAGUCAGGCCGAGCGCCGCCAACGACUCCUACAGCAAGAUGUCCAAUCACCUGACCAUCAACGUCAGGUAUACUCCGCGCUCUAUCCCUUUUCUAAACGCCUCAAACACAGCGGUUGUAGCGGGGGAGGAGAUCACCUUGCAGUGUACCCUGGACACCCUGGGGAAUCCCCAGGUCACGUGGACCUGGAAGUGUGGGCGGUACGCCGUAUACAACCAAAGGACCGUCAACGUUAACGCCACGUCCAAACUGAUCCUGAAAGGGGAACCGGAUCUCAACAACAAGGUGUGUCACUGCGUGGCCCGGAACUACUUUCUUCACUACGAGGCGGCGUCCAACGCAGUUUCACUCAGUGUGUACUAUUUCCCUGACGAAAGGCCCCGGAUAGACAAUACACUUAUAACCGUGGAUCAGAACACCCCAGUAACAAUUCGGUGUUAUUUGUCCACGCGGGGAAACCCCCCGGUAGCUUGGCUGUGGUACUGUGACGACAAACUCCAGUCAAAGGGAGUCGGGAGCACUGGAACCUUGUCGACUCUCAUGGUCAUCGCAAAACUCAAGGACCACAACGCGGCGUGCCACUGUAGGGCGAAAAGCGAUUCCCAGUGGGGCAGCUAUGACAAAAACUCCUCAAAGGCAAUCAUCAAUAUAAAAAACCUCGAUCUAAUUACCACGAAAAGUUCUGCAAUCACCGCUGAUGUGUUUGGUGCCGUGACCGGGAUUGUGGUUCUUCUAAUCAUAAUGGCUGGAAUUGUUGUUGUUUUUCAUCACAGAAAAAUUACAGAUAUGAGUAAUCAGUUUUUGACAACUCGGAGGUAUGCAAUGUCUAAUUACUAUUCUAAACACAAUUAAACCCAAAAUUUUAUUUAUCUGUGAAAAUCCUUCUGUUCUUACUUAAUUUAUUUUAAAUGGAUAUCAAAAUAGAGAAUUGUUUUUAACUUUAAGCAGUCCAUAUAUAUACACUUAUAUCUCAAUGGUUUGUUAAUUUCCGGUACUCGUUCAAUUUUUGUAAAAUCAGUUUUAUCAGAAAUAAACUUAAUCACGUUAUUUCGUUCAAGAGACAAUGAUAUGAGCUCAAGCGUUGGGCAAGACAAUCUUAACUACAGAACCUUAAAGGAAGAGCAAGCCCAUCCCACAGAAUGAUUUCAUAAAUCUAUAUUAAGGUUUAUACAGACUGAGAUAUAUGAGCAAUGAAGACUGCAGAGAAAUAACACUCGUUUUAGAAGACGUCUUUAUUCAACAUGUAUCCGGGCACGCCUACGUUUUAAUCACCAAUUACUCCUUGAUAAAUGUUUAAACGGUUUACAAAAUGUGUUAUAAUAAGAUAUCAGCAUCUAUAAUAAAAUUCUGUCGU